rnacentral:lncRNA from 1 species
AGCUCAUUGAGAAUGGGCCAUGAUGACGAUGGCGGUUUUGUCGAAUAGAAAAGGGGGAAAUGUGGGGAAAAGAUAGAGAAAUCAGAUUGUUGCUGUGUCUGUGUAGAAAGAAGUAGACAUAGGAGACUCCAUUUUGUUCUGUACUAAGAAAAAUUCUUCUGCCUUGGGAUGCUGUUGAUCUAUGACCUUACCCCAACCCGGUGCUCUCUGAAACAUGUGCUGUGUCCACUCAGGGUUAAAUGGAUUAAGGGCGGUGCAAGAUGUGCUUUGUUAAACAGAUGCUUGAAGGCAGCAUGCUCAUUAAGAGUCAUCACCACUCCCUAAUCUCAAGUACCCAGGGACACAAACACUGCGGAAGGCCGCAGGGUCCUCUGCCUAGGAAAACCAGAGACCUUUGUUCACUUGUUUAUCUGCUGACCUUCCCUCCACUAUUGUCCUAUGACCCUGCCAAAUCCCCCUCUGCAAGAAACACCCAAGAAUGAUCAAUUAAAAAAAAUAAAAAAAGACCUUGGGAAAUACAAUUCUAAGUCUUAACAUUUUGCAUAUGUUGUUAAAUGUCCACGAUUCAUAGCAAAUGAGAUCUAUUUACUGGGAGUAAUCUUCCCGAUAUGGCCAUCUAAACUUGGUUCUCCAUCAGAUAUAUUCUUGGGAAAUUACAAUUGUUUUUUCCAACAAGUAGACACUUGUUUACCUUCUAGGUUUGUGGAAGGCAUGAAGUCCUUUAAUAGUACCAUUUUUUUUUUCUUAUUUAAUAUUUACUGUCAUAUAUGUUUGCAUGAUUAAAAGGAGGCAUUAAAAAAAAAUGGCCAUGCAUUCUUUCCCUGCCCUAAAGAAGUGGGAUUUAUUUCUCCACACCAUGCUUCUUAAAGUAGGGGAUUUGAAAUAAUAAUAAUAAUAAUAAAUAUUUCACUACUUUUUGAAUGCAGGUUGACCACAGGAUUUGCUUUGGCCAAUGAAACAUUUUGGCAUAUAUGAGCAAGCAGAGAUUUAAAAAACAGUUGCAUGUUGGAACUUAGAAUGAUCUCGUAAUCCUGUAGCCAUGUGAACAAGCCGGGGCUAGCCUGAUACAGGAUGAGAGACACAGGAUUCAGUCACCCUCAUCACCACAGUUGACAGCCAGCCUACCACCAGACAGACAUACCAGACGCAGUGGCUCAUGCCUGUAAUCCCAGCAAUUUGGGAGGCCGAAGCAAGUGGAUCAUCUGAGAUCAGGAGUUCGAGACCAGCCUGGCUAACAUGGAAAUUUCAUCUCUACUAAAAAUACAAAAAAUUAGCCAAGCAUGGCAGCACGUGCCUGUAGUCCCAGCUACUUGGGAGGCUGAGCCAGGAGAAUUGCUUGAACCUGGGAGGUGGAGGUUGCAGUGAGCCAAGAUCACACCACUGCACUCCAGCCUGGGCAACAGAGUGAGAG